CAUGACAAAAUAUCUAUCUGUUGAUAAUUUGGAUGGGGCAUUUGAAAGCGAUAGUCCGUAUUCUAUCCACAACAUAAAUGAGCUUCGAGAGCAUUGGUCAAAGUUCUUCUUUUCUAAGUGCUUAUAACUUUUAUUUUAUUGAUAAAAAGUAUUUUGUUUUGAUGAUAGUAUUGAGUUGGGCAUGUUUUGAUGAUAUUAUUGUAUUAAAGUAUGAGGAUUUUAAGUGCUAUUGUAUUUUGAUGAUAGUAUUUGCAUUGUGUUAAAA